UUGGAGAGGACCGCCGUCGGA
rnacentral:miRNA from 1 species